UACGUAGGGGGCAAGCGUUAUCCGGAUUUACUGGGUGUAAAGGGAGCGUAGACGGCGGUGCAAGCCAGAUGUGAAAGCCCGGGGCUCAACCCCGGGACUGCAUUUGGAACUGUGCUGCUAGAGUGUCGGAGAGGCAGGCGGAAUUCCUAGUGUAGCGGUGAAAUGCGUAGAUAUUAGGAGGAACACCAGUGGCGAAGGCGGCCUGCUGGACUGCAACUGACGUUGAGGCUCGAAGGCGUGGGGAGCAAACAGG
rnacentral:rRNA from 1 species